GUGACUUUCGGCUUCGUAAAUUAUAAAAAUAUCUUAACCAACAGUCGCCCUUGGAUACAACAGUGAAAGUUUCAAUUUCGUAACAUAUGUAUAAAUAGGUUUUCGAAGGCAUAUGCCGAGUCCUUAAUUCUAGUUGAACUGGAAGUAGGAGUUGAGACAAUUUUAGCAGGAUUCUUCAAGAAGUGCAUCCAUUAAAGAAUAUUCUAAAUGCAAUGUAGUGUGAUACCUAUAAAACCUGAAAAUAUGAUGACCUUUUUGUGAAUUUUUUCCUAUAAAUGUUUACAAGACUACACUACUGCACCUACGAAACUUUUUUGCUCAAAUAAGAUUAAUCUUAUACAUUUGCUAUAAAUUCAAAAAAUACCAAAUAUAACAUUUUCAGGUUUGUGUUAGAUAUUACCUGUGUGCAUGUUGUUCAAAAAAAUUUCACCAAUAUUAUCAGUAUAGUAAGGAGUAAUACAAGACUAAUCAGCAUUAGUAGGGUUAGAGCUUGGCAAUUAGUGGAACUUACUAAUUGAUUAUUCACCAAGCUCAUUAAUCAAUGGCAUUUAAUUAAUUGGUUAUUCUCACAAGACUUAGACAGUCAGAAUAAUCAAAAAUAGUAAUAAUCAGUUUCAGUUAGUGAGUCAUGAUACUAAUUGAUUAAAAAACUUUGAAUUAAUUAAAAAUCAUAAUUGUAAUAUUUCAAUUAUAUGGAUAGAUGGAAUAACCGAAAACAUUAAUUUCAAUUUAGUUUUUUUAUGACUAAUUGAUUUAAUUGUUAUUUUGAUUAAUCAGUUAUUUUACAUGAUACUAAUCAAUGCUCAUAGGGAAUGGAUUAUAUUGAUUAAUAGAGUUAAUUGCCAAGCUAUAAUAUAGAGGUUUAAACAGGCUGUUUUCUGUGAAGAGAUUUAUUGUAAUUCCAAUUAGUGCACAGAAAUAAAACUCAAGUAAUAAACAGCAAGGAGACUUGAAUGAAAAAGAUACGACCAAUAAGAUAUAGACCUCAAAACUGAAUAUUCAUUUUCACACACACACACACAAUUUUUAACACAGAAAGCAAAAUGCCUAUUUAUCAAAUAUGAACAAAGUUUUCCAAAAAAUAAUAUUAACACACCAAGUUUAUUAAUUAAAAAAUCAAACAAACAAUAUAACUAAAUAUUUUCAAAGCAUCUGAAUCAAGGUGAAACUUGAAAAACAUUUACCAAUACCAAGACACUAGUUUUUAUUACAAACACUGGAGUAUUAGUUAUUUUCUUAUUCAAACAGUAAAUUCAUGAUAACAAAAAAUGGUAGAAACAAAAAUGCAAGGAUUGGAAUCAUAAAAAAAUAUUAAGUGUUACAAGUUUUCUUCAAAAUAUGAUCUGACUUAAAUGAAAUAUAUAUGUAGGUAGAUCAGUAAAGACAGAACACUUAAUUUAACAUUAAACCUUAAGCAGAACUUAUGCUAUACCUUUUAAAUAACACAAAAAUGUUACAAACCUAGGAAUCAAAUCAAAUGUGUUAAUAGCCAAAAGGAACUGAUGUCAAACAUCGUUAAUAUAAGACGUUAACCACAAAGCACCAGUAAAUACCAACAUCGUAUGUCAGAUUAAAGCGUUGUACAAUAACCUGUUUUUAUGGGAACAGAUAAAAGAUAUUUGCCUUGAAAUGCCACUCAGUGUGAGUAUUUAACAAAUAAAACUGUUUGAAAAUGACAGACUACAUUUAAGUAGCAACCAAUGAAAUACUGUUCAACACAUACUGAAUAAUACAGCAAACUAUAACAGAUACUUGAGAUUUGUCAUAUCAUCUAUAAGGCCACCUUAUUUCUAGGUUUCUAAAGAUUGUUUUUAAAAGUUAACAGUAAAUGCUUGUAUUUAAUAGUUAAAAGUCUAUGCACACCAAGAUACUAGAGAACUAAUUCGUGGUUUAGUUAUUAAUUCAAUAACUGCAAUGUGAUAAAGUUAUUAAAUAUUACAAUGUGUAAGAAAAAAGAAUGACAUAGUAAUGGAUACUGGUAUGAAUUUUAUCUGUAGAACAUGUUUUUCUGGUCUUAUACAGAAUAAAAAAUUAUGGUUCUAACUUCUGGUAACGCAAAGUCAUUAUUCUUAAAAACUAUCAGUUUAAAGACCACAGAAUUUAUAAACUUUUGAUUAUAUAGUUAUAGUAUUUAUUAUGUUAUGUGCAAUAAUUUAUAAAAUAUAUUUAACUUCUAAGUAAAGUUCAUAACCAUUACCAGGUGUGGGUCACAUUUACUAGAUAGGUUUUAUGUAGUUUGCCGAUACAUAGAUGCUUUUUUCAUUUAUCUAUGAAAAUAUACAAAAAUGCAAAACACAUACAUACCCUGGCUUAAUCAUAGUUUUCUACAGAAUUCAGGAAUUUAUAAUAAUUUAUCUGUAACAAAACUUAAAUUUCAUAGAAAAAAAUAAUAAAGCUGAACAAUUUUAUACAAAUUUGACCAAGCAAUUUUUUCUUACUUUCAUUUAAAACUGGCACAGCUGUACAUGUACAAAUUUUUUCUCCUUAUUCAUAUUUUGUCACAUUGUAUCCAUGGGUAUAUUAAGCUGGCCUUAUAUGAACAAAUCACUUAAAUUUAUAUGCUAGUAGCUUAUAAUCAUAAACAAUUUCAAAGUGAAUUCUCAAGUUUAAGAUAGCUAAUUUUGAAAUUAACACAUCUACAAUAGCUAAAGAAAAUGCAUAGUUACCAAGAUCUGCUGCCUGCUGAAUGAAUACCUUUCAUCUAAAACUCUUGAAGAAAAUGCAAAGAUAUCCAAGUUAUCUUGUGAAAACAAUGUCAUAAAAAAAUAAGUUGGCUGUUGUUGAUAAAUAUUAUGUACAUUUCUUACAUUUGAGAUAGAUUACUUAACCCUAACUUAUUCAAUAGUUUUUCAUUUAGAAAUAACAGAUAUGAUCAAUAACCAGGUUCAUCGAAACCUAUAGAAAGGUAUAUAAAACGUGAGCUAAAACCUGAUUUAACAGUAACGAUUGUGCUUGAUACUAACAUUGAUCAAGUUAAAAAAAAUCUUGGUCAAAGUAACCAUCUGUUUCACAAAGAAGUGAACUUUAGGAUUAAUUAUUUUCAUGUUACAAAAUAUUUUGUUAAUCUUCUAUAAAACAAAUUUAUUUCUAAAUAGAAGCUUAAUAUAAAACAGAUAAUGAAAAUGCUAAUUUCUGUAUUUACACAAGAAUAGAAUAAGUACAUGAAUAUAAAAACCACUCAUUAGCUUGAACACUGUAAUUACAAAAACUAGUUUAAAGUUUAUUAUCUUCUGUUGAUAACAAACUUAAAUAAAUGGAUGGAGAAAAAAAAUAUAAUACAAUUUCGUUACUCAUAACAUCAGACUCCUGUGAAAUUGUAUUGGUACUUAUGACUGGGAUUGUUUCCAAUCAAACAAAAGUAUUUUCUUACUUUAAACCUUAACAUUGCACUUAAGUUUUCUCAUUCCUUUACACAUACCUCCAAGUUUUGCACAAGCUUCUACACUUUUCACUCAUUACUGGUUUGUAAUAGAGCAUUCAGUCAGCAUUAGUAAAUCCUGUCCCUUGUCAUCUGUACUUUUUUCAGGAAAAAUUAAAAGUAUUUACUAAUUCCAAUACUUAUGAUUUGUUCACAACUCACUUUCACAGUCGAUGAGAUUGCAAAGUUUCAUACUUUAGUAAAACAUAUCAGAAAAUCCAGCUAGUUGCAGGGAAAUAAUUACACAUAAAAUGAACAUCCAAUUGAAAUUUAGAAAGUACUUAGUAACAUGUCUUUUCUCAAAUGAUUGACAUGCUAAAAAUAGUGAUCUAACUAGAGAUUUCAAAUUGGAUGAAUAUUACAUUGUUAAAAGAUAAGUAUUCUAUUUCAAUGAUGUACAUUUGUGUCUUUAGUGCAUUAAAUUCUUCUCAUAAGAAAUCAGUGGGAUAUGUCUUGUUGGAUCACCCUGUACAUUAAUUAUUGUACUUUAAGUGAUUUUAUAUUUACUGAUGAAAAAUAGGCCUAUAAAUUUAAAAACAGAAAACUUUCCACAAUCAAAAAUCUAUAAAUUCUUAUAUUGAAAAUAAAACAAAUAAUAUGUUUGAAACUGUACAAGGGUCUUAAAUGUGUAAUUUGUUUGACAUGUAUUUACACGGUGGUAUGGAACAGUAGUUGUGAUGUUUUAUAUUUGAGGUAACCAGUAAAAAAAAAGAAAGAAAUUCUAUCAGUUAAACAUAGUUUCAUGCCUUCCAUGGAUAUUUAAUUUGGCCAUUAGCUAAAAUUUUUUGCAUUUCAUUCAUCCUUUUACUCAAAAAUCUGAAAAAAAAAA